CCUACGGGAGGCAGCAGUGGGGAAUAUUGGGCAAUGGGCGCAAGCCUGACCCAGCAACGCCGCGUGAAGGAAGAAGGCCCUCGGGUUGUAAACUUCUUUUGUCAGGGACGAAGAAAGUGACGGUACCUGACGAGUAAGCCACCGCUAACUACGUGCCAGCAGCCGCGGUAAUACGUAGGUGGCGAGCGUUAUCCGGAUUUACUGGGUGUAAAGGGCGUGUAGGCGGGACUGGAAGUCAGAUGGGAAAUUCCAGGGCUUAACCCUGGAACUGCAGUUGAAACUGUAGUUCUUGAGUGAUGGAGAGGCAGGCGGAAUGCCGUGUGUAGCGGUGAAAUGCGUAGAUAUACGGAGGAACACCAGAGGCGAAGGCGGCCUGCUGGACAUUAACUGACGCUGAGGCGCGAAAGCGUGGGGAGCAAACAGGAUUAGAUACCCUGGUAGUC
rnacentral:rRNA from 1 species